GUUAGUUUAAAAUAUUAUUUUUUAUUAUAAUGAUUUUAUAUAUUAGGUAGGUGCCCAUUCUCAGAAGUUAUUUAUACCUAUGCAAUACCUUUGCUCAGGUUAAAGAAUGGAAUACUAGUCUUGCAUCAAAUAUAUUUUACAUAUCCAUUCGAUGUUUAUCACCAGAAGUUAGUUCUACCUUUGCAGUACCUCUGCUCUACAUACCUCCUCGCUGGUUAAAGAAUGGAAUAUAAAUCUCAUAUCAAGUUGGUGUAAAAAUUUAGUUCAAUAAAUUAAGAAUUUGUAAA